rnacentral:rRNA from 1 species
UACAGAGGGUGCGAGCGUUAAUCGGAAUUACUGGGCGUAAAGGGCGCGUAGGCGGUUAUAUAAGUUAGAUGUGAAAUCCCUGGGCUUAACCUGGGAACUGCAUAUAAUACUGUAAGGCUAGAGUAGAGUAGAGGGAAGUGGAAUUUCCGGUGUAGCGGUGAAAUGCGUAGAUAUCGGAAAGAACACCGGUGGCGAAGGCGGCUUCCUGGACUCAAACUGACGCUGAGGCGCGAAAGCAUGGGGAGCAAACAGG